UACGAAGGGGCUAGCGUUGCUCGGAAUCACUGGGCGUAAAGCGCACGUAGGCGGAUUGUUAAGUCAGGGGUGAAAUCCUGGAGCUCAACUCCAGAACUGCCUUUGAUACUGGCGAUCUUGAGUCCGGGAGAGGUGAGUGGAACUGCGAGUGUAGAGGUGAAAUUCGUAGAUAUUCGCAAGAACACCAGUGGCGAAGGCGGCUCACUGGCCCGGUACUGACGCUGAGGUGCGAAAGCGUGGGGAGCAAACAGGGAU
rnacentral:rRNA from 1 species